UGGCUAAGUGGUUAAGAGCUUGGCUGCUAACCAAAAGGUUGGUGGCUCAAAUCCACC
rnacentral:tRNA from 1 species